rnacentral:rRNA from 1 species
AACGAACGCUGGCGGCAGGCUUAACACAUGCAAGUCGAGCGCCCCGCAAGGGGAGCGGCAGACGGGUGAGUAACGCGUGGGAAUCUACCCAUCUCUACGGAAUAACGCAUGGAAACGUGUGCUAAUACCGUAUACGUCCUUCGGGAGAAAGAUUUAUCGGAGAUGGAUGAGCCCGCGUUGGAUUAGCUAGUUGGUGGGGUAAAGGCCUACCAAGGCGACGAUCCAUAGCUGGUCUGAGAGGAUGAUCAGCCACACUGGGACUGAGACACGGCCCAGACUCCUACGGGAGGCAGCAGUGGGGAAUAUUGGACAAUGGGCGCAAGCCUGAUCCAGCCAUGCCGCGUGAGUGAUGAAGGCCCUAGGGUUGUAAAGCUCUUUCACCGGUGAGGAUAAUGACGGUAACUGGAGAAGAAGCCCCGGCUAACUUCGUGCCAGCCGCCGCCGUAAGAC